rnacentral:rRNA from 1 species
GACGAACGCUGGCGGCGUGCUUAACACAUGCAAGUCGAACGGUGAAGCGCCUUCCUUUUUGGUGGGUGUGGAUGAGUGGCGAACGGGUGAGUAACACGUGAGUAACCUGCCCCCUUCUUCUGGAUAACCGCAUGAAAGUGUGGCUAAUACGGGAUAUUCUGGGUCUGUCGCAUGAUGGGUCUGGGAAAGAUAUUGUUUCGGUGGGGGAUGGGCUCGCGGCCUAUCAGCUGGUUGGUGGGGUGAUGGCCUACCAAGGCGGUGACGGGUAGCCGGCCUGAGAGGGUGGACGGUCACACUGGGACUGAGACACGGACCAGACUCAUACGGGAGGCAGCAGUGGGGAAUAUUGCACAAUGGGCGCAAGCCUGAUGCAGCGACGCCGCGUGAGGGAGGGAGGCCUUCGGGUUGUGAACCUCUUUCGCAAGUGAAGCAGGCCUGCCUCGUUUGUGGGUGGGUUGACGGUAGCUGGAUAAGAAGCGCCGGCUAACUACGUG